ensembl:rRNA 5S_rRNA 5S ribosomal RNA
AUCUAUGGCCAUACUAUUCUGAAUACAUCCCAUCUCGUCUGAUCUCGGAAGCUAAGUAGUGCCAGGCCUGGUUAGUACUUGGAUGGGAGACCGCCUGGGAAUACCAGGUGCUAUAUUUU